UUUUUACUAGCCAUGUGCGCCCAACUACGUUGCGCGUGUUAAAGUUGUCUGUGAAGGGCUCCCUGUUUAAACGUGGCUGCCAGUCGUGAACUGGGCCCUUCGUCGCACAGCAUUAUGAUUUUUUAUAAGGGAAACAAAAUUACAAAAGAAAACCCUUGGACAUUGAUUCGAUAGGAACGGCCUACUCGGAAUCACUGUCCGAAUAGUAAUUAUGUGGUGGUGUAGGAGCAUUUCUGCUUCUCUCCGUUCACAGUCCGUCUCGUUUUCACGACGCUGUCGUUUCCUCUCACGAUCUCUUCUCAACCUUUCUCCAGUCUCGCAGGUUGCUUUGUGGCAAUCCAAAGAGUAAGGCAAUAUACACGGAGCAAUGGUUAUAAAAGGGGGACACACAGGCUCUUUAAAGCAUAAAUAGGAAUCACUUCACUGACAUGUGAGCAAGCCACGGUACAACUGUGAGACGCGCAGCACUCGCCGGCUACAACGUAACAAUAAUAAUUUCCGGAACGUGCUGUUACGUUGUCGUUCAUUUUACCCACUGUCUUUCUUUCAUUCAUAUGUUACGUAGACACGUACCUUUUAUCUUCGCCAAUCUCAUUCUCUAACCAGGCCUCACGAGCUAACCAGCGUAACACUGUCCACCACCCCUUUCGUUAUUCCGGCACAUUGUUGACAUCCGUGAGUAACAACAACGUACUAAACUGGAAGGUGGUCUACGCAUGCGUGGAAUUCGCAGACAAACAAAGAUCAAGAUCCAAAUGAAGAUUAUAUAUAAAGAUUAGUUAAUUUAAAGCACAACAAUUUGUUUAGUUUGAAUGUCUGUGUUUUGAGGUGUGACUGGAGUACUACAGUCUUCAGUAGUAUAAGCCUGGAGGAGAUUCUUAAUGCAAUGCCUAUGUUUUAGCUGUCUCUCUACUGCCAUCUAGUGCUGCUUCUUCUAAUUCAUUCGCGGACAAACAAAGAUCAAGAUCCAAAUGAAGAUUAUAUA